rnacentral:rRNA from 1 species
AGCAGCCGCGGUAAUUCCAGCUCCAAUAGCGUAUAUUAAAGUUGUUGCAGUUAAAAAGCUCGUAGUUGAAUUUCGGGAUCAAUUUAUCGGUCGUGCCUAUGGUAUGAACUGGUACAAUUGGUUUCUCCCUUCUGACGAAGCAUGAUGUCAUUAAUUUGGUGUCGUGGGGAAUCAGGACUGUUACUUUGAAAAAAUUAGAGUGUUUAAAGCAAGCAUUAGCUUGAAUACAUUAGCAUGGAAUAAUGAAAUAGGACGUUGACCCUAUUUUGUUGGUUUCUAGGAUUGACGUAAUGAUUAAUAGGGAUAGUUGGGGGCAUUAGUAUUCAAUUGUCAGAGGUGAAAUUCUUGGAUUUAUUGAAGACUAACUACUGCGAAAGCAUUUGCCAAGGAUGUUUUCAUUAAUCAAGAACGAAAGUUAGGGGAUCGAAGACGAUCAGAUACCGUCGUAGUCUUAACCAUAAACUAUGCCGACUAGGGAUCGGAUGAUGUUAAUUUUUUAAUGACUCA